rnacentral:rRNA from 1 species
UACGUAGGGUGCAAGCGUUAAUCGGAAUUACUGGGCGUAAAGCGUGCGCAGGCGGUUAUGUAAGACAGAUGUGAAAUGCCCCGGGCUUAACCUGGGAACUGCAUUUGUGACUGCACGGCUAGAAUCUGGCAGAGGGGGGGUAGAAUUCCACGUGUAGCAGUGAAAUUCGUAGAUAUUGGGAAGAACACCGAUGGCGAAGGCAGCCAUCUGGACCGACACUGACGCUGAGGCGCGAAAGCGUGGGGAGCAAACAGG